UACAGAGGUCCCAAGCGUUGUUCGGAUUCACUGGGCGUAAAGGGUGCGUAGGUGGUGAGGUAAGUCGGAUGUGAAAGCUCCGAGCUCAACUCGGAAAUGGCAUUGGAAACUACCUUACUCGAGGGUUUGAGGGGGGACUGGAAUACUUGGUGUAGCAGUGAAAUGCGUAGAUAUCAAGUAGAACACCAGUGGCGAAGGCGAGUCCCUGGAAAACUCCUGACACUGAGGCACGAAAGCUAGGGGAGCAAACAGG
rnacentral:rRNA from 1 species